AGGACGAACGCUGGCGGCGUGCUUAACACAUGCAAGUCGAGCGGUAAGGCCUUUCGGGGUACACGAGCGGCGAACGGGUGAGUAACACGUGGGUGAUCUGCCCUGCACUUCGGGAUAAGCCUGGGAAACUGGGUCUAAUACCGGAUAUGACCUCCUAUCGCAGUGGUGGGUGGUGGAAAGAUUUAUCGGUGCAGGAUGGGCCCGCGGCCUAUCAGCUUGGUUGGUGGGGUAAUGGCCUACCAAGGCGACGACGGGUAGCCGACCUGAGAGGGUGACCGGCCACACUGGGACUGAGACACGGCCCAGACUCCUACGGGAGGCAGCAGCGGGAAUAUUGCACAAUGGGCGAAAGCCUGAUGCAGCGACGCCGCGUGAGGAUGACGGCCUUCGGUUGUAACCUCUUUCAGCAGGACGAAGCGCGAAGUGACGGUACUGCAGAACAAGCACCGGCUAACUACGUCGCAGCACGCCGC
rnacentral:rRNA from 1 species